AGCAGCCAGUGCCCUCUUAGUUGUUGGUCCGCCCCUUCCUUUCUUGUUCACCUCUCUCCUCAUUGUCGGGCUCCUCUGCCUUCUCGUGCGCCUUCGAGCAUUCUUUCUCGUGUUGUUGCCCUAACAAAUAUAGAUUGAAUUGUCAAACCCUAUUGUCCUUGUGCCAAACUAAACCUUCGCAAUGAGAGAUGGGGUAGAUCUUGUACUCUGAGAAAUACUGCGAUGUUACUGAUGGGUACAGGCAUCAAUCUAAAAGCCACUCUACUCUUCUUUGCUUUGUACAGCAUAUGCUUGCAAUGAAAUGCGCAGGCUAUAAGCACAACCAAAAUGAUAGGCCCAACUAAGAUAAUUGGGAUUGACAAAAAUGGAAUGACAGAUUUUGUCAAUCCUGGUGCUUUUGAUAAAUCAGUUUCAGAGUUAGUCAUGGUGGAAUGGGUGUGGACUAUUCCUUUGAGAGCACCGGAGUUGCCCCUCUACUUACUCAAGCCUUUCAAGC